rnacentral:tRNA from 1 species
GGGCGGGUAGCGCAGUGGCCAGCGCAUUCCCUGAGCGUGUUCUUCCCUAAAGCGGAUUUCAGCGUUGAUUUUCUCCUCUUUCCUAGAAAAAGCGUUCAUUGAAAGACCUGGGUUCGAAUCCCAGCCCGCCCA